rnacentral:rRNA from 1 species
UACGGGGGGGGCAAGCGUUGUUCGGAAUUACUGGGCGUAAAGGGCUCGUAGGCGGCCAACUAAGUCGGAUGUGAAAUCCCCAGGCUCAACCUGGGAACUGCGUCCGAUACUGGAUGGCUUGAAUUCGGGAGAGGGAUGCAGAAUUCCAGGUGUAGCGGUGAAAUGCGUAGAUAUCUGGAGGAAUACCGGUGGCGAAGGCGGCAUCCUGGACCGACAUUGACGCUGAUGAGCGAAAGUGUGGGGAGCGAACAGG